rnacentral:rRNA from 2 species
UAGGGAAUAUUGCACAAUGGGGGAAACCCUGAUGCAGCAACGCCGCGUGAGUGAUGAAGGCUUUCGGGUUGUAAAGCUCUGUUCUUAGGGAACAAAAAAAUGAGGGUACCUGAGGAGAAAGGACCGGCUAACUUCGUGCCAGCAGCCGCGGUAAGACGAGGGGUCCAAGCGUUGUCCGGAAUUAUUGGGCGUAAAGAGGGUGUAGGUGGCCUUGCCAGUCAGAAGUGAAAGCCUUGGGCUUAACCCAAGAAGGGCUUUUGAUACUGUGAGGCUUGAGUGCGGAAGAGGGCAGUGGAAUUCCUGGUGUAGCGGUGAAAUGCGUAGAUAUCAGGAGGAACACCGGAGGCGAAGGCGUCUGCCUGGUCCGACACUGACAUUCAGACCCGAAAGCGUGGGGAGCAAACAGG